GCUAAUACCGCAUAACAGUUUAUGCCGCAUGGCAUAAGAGUGAAAGGCGCUUUCGGGUGUCGCUGAUGGAUGGACCCGCGGUGCAUUAGCUAGUUGGUGAGGUAACGGCUCACCAAGGCCACGAUGCAUAGCCGACCUGAGAGGGUGAUCGGCCACACUGGGACUGAGACACGGCCCAGACUCCUACGGGAGGCAGCAGUAGGGAAUCUUCGGCAAUGGACGAAAGUCUGACCGAGCAACGCCGCGUGAGUGAAGAAGGUUUUCGGAUCGUAAAACUCUGUUGUUAGAGAAGAACAAGGACGUUAGUAACUGAACGUCCCCUGACGGUAUCUAACCAGAAAGCCACGGCUAACUACGUGCCAGCAGCCGCGGUAAUACGUAGGUGGCAAGCGUUGUCCGGAUUUAUUGGGCGUAAAGCGAGCGCGGGCGGUUUCUUAAGUCUGAUGUGAAAGCCCCCGGCCCAACCGGGGAGGGUCAUUGGAAACUGGGAGACUUGAGUCCAGAAGAGGAGAGUGGAAUUCCAUGUGUAGCGGUGAAAUGCGUAGAUAUAUGGAGGAACACCAGUGGCGAAGGCGGCUCUCUGGUCUGUAACUGACGCUGAGGCUCGAGAGCGUGGGGAGCAAACAGGAUUAGGUACACUGGUAGUCCAC
rnacentral:rRNA from 1 species